AAUUGACUUUGAAACUGCGAAUGGCUCAUUAUAUCAGUUAUAGUUUAUUUGGUGAAGGAUACUAAUUGGAUAACCGUAGUAAUUCUAGGGCUAAUACAUGAGUAAAGUCCCAUUGGGAUGUGUUUAUUAGAAUGAAAACCAUAUGCUUCGGCAUGAUAGUGAGUAAUAGUAACCUAUCGUAUCGCAUGCUUAAAGUAGCGAUGAGUCUUUCAAGUUUCUGCCCUAUCAGCUUUCGAUGGUAGCAUAUGGGUCUACCAUGGCAGUAACGGGUAACGAAGAAUUUGGGUUCGAUUUCGGAGAGGGAGCCUGAG
rnacentral:rRNA from 1 species